rnacentral:misc_RNA from 1 species
AGAGGAGGAUAAGAGAGAUUGUGCGAGUGCUUUCAAAUUUUAAAGAUUUGAAGCAAGAGGGGACUAGAAGAAAGGAUUACAUUGAGCAGUUUAAGAUGGAUUUAUGUUCAUACUAUGGUUACAAUGAUUUCCUUAUUGGGGUUUUUGUUGAGAUGUUCCCAGUUAAUGAACUCAUAGAACUUGUUGAGGCUUUUGAAAAGCCACGACCAAUAUGUUUACGCACAAAUACUUUAAAGACGCGGAGACGGGAUUUGGCUGAUGUACUCUUAAACAGAGGAGUAAACCUUGAUCCUUUAAGCAAGUGGUCAAAGGUUGGAUUGGUUGUUUAUGAUUCACAAGUGCCUAUUGGUGCUACUCCAGAAUAUAUGGCUGGUUUCUACAUGCUGCAAAGCGCGAGCUCAUUCUUGCCUGUGAUGGCCCUUGCUCCUCAAGAAAAGGAACGGAUUGUUGAUAUGGCGGCUGCACCUGGUGGUAAAACAACUUAUAUUGCUGCUCUUAUGAAAAAUAGUGGAAUAAUUUAUGCAAAUGAGAUGAAGGUACCAAGACUAAAGUCACUUACUGCAAAUCUGCAUCGCAUGGGAGUGACAAACACCAUUGUUUGUAACUAUGAUGGCAGGGAGCUUACCAAGGUUUUGGGUCACAAUGCUGUUGAUAGGGUGUUGUUGGAUGCUCCUUGCAGUGGGACUGGGGUCAUAUCUAAAGAUGAAUCUGUUGAAACCUUUAAAAGCUUUGAAGAGAUACAGAAAUGUGCCCAUUUGCAGAAGCAAUUGAUUCUUGCUGCAAUUGACAUGGUCGAUGCAAGCUCAAAAUCUGGGGGAUACAUUGUUUACUCCACAUGUUCCAUGAUGGUUGCUGAGAAUGAAGCAGUCAUCAACUAUGCUCUUAAAAUGAGGGAUGUCAAACUUGUCCCAUGUGGACUUGACUUUGGGCGUCCAGGGUUUAUCAGGUUUAGGGAACACCGUUUUCACCCAUCUUUGGAAAAGACAAGACGUUUCUACCCUCAUGUAAACAACAUGGAUGGAUUUUUUGUGGCAAAGUUGAAGAAAAUGAGCAAUUCAAUACCUACUGUUGCACCAUCUGAACCUUUAGAAUCAGUUGAACAAGCUUCUGUACCAAAUGAGAGCAACAGGGAAAAGAAAAUUGCAGAGCCUUUGAAGAAGACAGGUGCUAUGAAAAAAGGUGGGGGACUAAUUAAUGGCGUGUCUGAUAAUAGAAAUGUGGAAUCCCCAUCCCCUGCCGAGAACAGAAAGAAAAGAAAAUUUCCAUCCAGAGAGGAAAUCUCAAAAGUCAGAGAGGAGAAGAGAAGAGCUUUGAGGGAAGGCAAAAAGAAGACAGCAAGGAAGAGUGGCACUAAAGAAUGACCAGCUAGUUACAUAACAAAAGCAUGGUAACUGAUAUUUUUAUUUGGUCAUACAAAGAUGUAUUUGCUAGAAGUAACAUACUUGUGCAAAAUCACAGUAGGAAAUGCAUAAACCUUUCACCAGUUGCACAACGUCCAUAUUUAUUUACUUGUGGUGUUUAAUUUU